rnacentral:rRNA from 2 species
GACGAACGCUGGCGGCGUGCCUAAUACAUGCAAGUCGAGCGAACCAAUAAGAAGCUUGCUUUUUGUUGGUUAGCGGCGGACGGGUGAGUAACACGUGGGUAACCUGCCUGUAAGACCGGGAUAACUCCGGGAAACCGGUGCUAAUACCGGAUAGAUUAUCUUUCCGCCUGGAGAGAUAAGGAAAGAUGGCUUUUGCCAUCACUUACAGAUGGGCCCGCGGCGCAUUAGCUAGUUGGUGAGGUAACGGCUCACCAAGGCGACGAUGCGUAGCCGACCUGGGAGGGUGAGCGGCCACACUGGGACUGAGACACGGCCCAGACUCCUACGGGAGGCAGCAGUAGGGAAUCUUCCGCAAUGGACGAAAGUCUGACGGAGCAACGCCGCGUGAGCGAAGAAGGUCUUCGGAUCGUAAAGCUCUGUUGUUAGGGAAGAACAAGUAUCGGAGGAAAUGCCGGUACCUUGACGGUACCUGACGAGAAAGCCACGGCUAACUACGUGCCAGCAGCCGCGGUAAUACGUAGGUGGCAAGCGUUGUCCGGAAUUAUUGGGCGUAAAGCGCGCGCAGGCGGUCCUUUAAGUCUGAUGUGAAAUCUUGCGGCUCAACCGCAAGCGGUCAUUGGAAACUGGGGGACUUGAGUGCAGAAGAGGAAAGCGGAAUUCCACGUGUAGCGGUGAAAUGCGUAGAGAUGUGGAGGAACACCAGUGGCGAAGGCGGCUUUCUGGUCUGUAACUGACGCUGAGGCGCGAAAGCGUGGGGAGCAAACAGG